rnacentral:rRNA from 1 species
AACGAACGCUGGCGGCAGGCUUAACACAUGCAAGUCGAACGGGUGUAGCAAUACAUCAGUGGCAGACGGGUGAGUGACACGUGGGAACCUUCCUAGGGGUACGGAACAACUCAGGGAAACUUGAGCUAAUACCGUAUACGUCCGUGAGGAGGAAGAUUUAUCGCCCUUAGACGGGCCCGCGUCGGAUUAGCUAGUUGGUGGGGUAACGGCCUACCAAGGCGACGAUCCGUAGCUGAUCUUAGAGGAUGAUCAGCCACACUGGGACUGAGACACGGCCCAGACUCCUACGGGAGGCAGCAGUGGGGAAUCUUGGACAAUGGGCGCAAGCCUGAUCCAGCCAUGCCGCGUGAGUGAAGAAGGUCUUCGGAUUGUAAAGCUCUUUUGCCAGGGACGAUAAUGACGGUACCUGGAGAAUAAGCCCCGGCAAACUUCGUGCCAGCAGCCGCGGUAA